rnacentral:rRNA from 1 species
CCUACGGGAGGCAGCAGUGAGGAAUAUUGGUCAAUGGGCGGUAGCCUGAACCAGCCAAGUAGCGUGCGGGAUGAAGGCCCUACGGGUCGUAAACCGCUUUUGCACGGGGAUAACACCCUCCACUUGUGGAGGUCUGCAGGUACCGUGCGAAUAAGGGCCGGCUAAUUCCGUGCCAGCAGCCGCGGUAAUACGGAAGGCCCGAGCGUUAUCCGGAUUCAUUGGGCUUAAAGGGAGCGUAGGCGGGCGUUAAAGUCAGCUGUAAAAUUGCGCGGCUCAACCGCGCCCGGCAGUUGAUAAUGGACGCCUUGAGUUCACAACAGGCAGGCGGAAUUCGUGGUGUAGCGGUGAAAUGCAUAGAUAUCACGAGGAACCCCGAUUGCGAAGGCAGCCUGCCGGGGUGCGACUGACGCUGAGGCUCGAAGGUGCGGGUAUCAAACAGGAUUAGAUACCCCAGUAGUC